AGAGGAAAAUAUAGUUUAGAUGAUCAAAUGUAUACUUUAAUGAUUAGAACCAUUCAUGCUAAUACUAUAUUUGUUAUGAUCUGAAAAGUAUGGGUUCUUAAUUGUACUGUUACUGAAAAUGUAAGCAGAAAUGAAUUGUGUCUGUGUCUCCUGGGAAAGUUUUGAAGCAGGGAUAAGAUAGUACUUCAAACAGAUAAGAAUGUUUUGGUUGGAUUCCAUUAGCAGAGAGAAGUAUAUCCUUUAGGCAGGUUGGAAUGUAGUUUAUGAGGGGAGUGAAACUAUCUCCAGGACUGAAUACUGCGCCAUUGUACGGCUGGGAGAGGGGGUGUAACUGAUGACGUCAUUUUAUGUCUUCUUCAGAUUUAAAAUGUAAUGUUCUUUGUAUUUUGGGUCAGUACUCAUCAAGAAUAAAUGCUGAACUUGUUUUUUAAGACUGGUCUCUUGCUAAUUCAUGCAAAUGAUAAACUUACAACUUAUCAUGAAUUAGAAAUGAGUGCGUAUUUGAUUGGCUUUGGUAAUAAAACAUAAGGGAAUUUAAAAAUUCCUCUAUCAAUUUGGUCCUUCGAGACGGAUCUAAACAUCUCUCUCUGUGCCUGGGGGUAGUAAGCUGGAAAAUCGUGCACGGACGAGUUCGACUCGUUUUACUAAAGACCUGACCUCUGAAUUGAGGUUAAAAAUUGAAACAGGCCUGCGUAUUACCACAGAGGACAGAGAGAGUGACUAGAUACAACGAACAUUGCUUUCCCAGUCGGCGAUAAGGUCAGUAUGUUUUAUUCUUGAUUAAGGGAGAAUGAUUUAAAUUAUCAUAGAGUGAUUUAAGUUGUUCUCAGUUUAAAAGUCAACUCUACAAAUAGGCUAUGCUUGGAGCGACAUUGUAGUUCAAAGUCCUAUAGAGAACAGGGAUUACUGUAUAGUUUUACAGUGAUCACUGUAUACGGGUGAAAACUAAAUGUCAGAGUGAGCGAUGAAUGGACGGGGGGGGUCUUUCCCGGUUUUUAGUAGUCAGUGUUCUUGAUAGUGAAAAGUGAUCGUGUGGUUGAGGUUCCGUGGGAAGAAACGGAACAGGUGAUUUUAUGCCAUCAGCUUUCAAGAAUAGACACUGCAGGAUUGGUUUUGGGACUGGCCUCGAUCCAUUUGUCUUCGGUCAACUUUACAAUUUUAUGCCCAGCAGGAGAACUACAGAGGGAGGUGGCACACGAGAUUCAACCAGGAGACUGGAUCUGGAUCCGAUCACUGAAGAUAAAAAAAAAUGGAAGCAGCCUCGGUGGGAGGGACCAUUCCAAGUACUACUGGUGACUGCCUUCGCUGUGAGAAUAGCCGAAAGAGCUACCUGGGUACAUGUCACACAUUGUAAGAGGGUGGGUCAUACUGGCACUGUCGAGCGGUCACAGGAGGAGGAGAGGAACCGUGACCCAUAUGGAACGGGGGUCAAACUCCUUCUGAAGAUUCCCUAUACCUGACCUUUCCCCAGCUGUGAGCGUUCAUAGAAGUGAAGUGAUGGCUUGGCCUCUGGCUGUUGAUAUGUUCUCGGGGAGAGGGUGGGGCUUCACGUGUGCACUGACCGUCCUGAGCUGUUUUAUUGUGGGGGCCAUAUUCCUGAUUCACCAUGAUCCCCGGAAAGUGCCAAAGAGGAUAAUUUGACUCAUGUGCUAGAUGAGGGAAAUGGGAUGUUACCUAAGAUUCUCAGAAGGUCACUGAAACAAAAUAGUAAGGAAGUGAGGGUGGAAUUGGGCAAGGAUCUCUCAGUAAAAUUUUGUGUAGAUCAAUUGGGGUCUUUCACCCCUUGGCAGUCUAGAACCAUGGGACUCUAUGGGAAAUAUUUGUGUAAAUCAUCCUGUAGGUCGUGGAGCCAGGUCAUAGCUCACACUGAAAGAGAUGGCUAUGUAAACCCAUACACUCAAUUUGGUUGGAAUGGAUUCAAUAUACGGCCAGAUCAGUGGCUAAAGAUGAAUGUUAUGCAAAACCACAGUUAACAACUAUCCCUUUCCCACUGAACGGAAUUAAUUCCCCUAAGGGAAUGGCAUGUAUGGUAAAGCUGUUCAUGAAAGCAGGAAUGCCAAGUAAUGAUAGCUGUAUUGAUUUACACUAUUUAUAUCUCCAGGUUCCAUUUAAAUCAAGACUUCCUCCCUUUACCGUGACAAGAGGAGAAUAUUACUGUUUGGCCAGAUACAGUACACACGGGAAAUACGUGGGGGAAGUUGGUACCUGCAAUAAGACAGAGAAUAUUACCACUGACGAGAACAUGUCUGAUUUGACAGGCUGGUUGAACUCUGGAGAUUUCAAAAUGUUGAAGGUGGCCAGGGCUGACAUAGUGGUCCUUCUGUAGCUCAGUUGGUAGAGCAUGGCGCUUGUAACGCCAGGGUAGUGGGUUCGAUUCCCGGGACCACCCAUACGUAGAAUGUAUGCACACAUGACUGUAAGUCGCUUUGGAUAAAAGCGUCUGCUAAAUGGCAUAUAUAUCUGGUGGUUGUGCGGGGGAAUGAAUUUGUGGCCGGUAUUACCGACUGAUUGGACUGGACUAUGUGCUCUAGUACAUAUAGGAAUGCCUUUUACACUCAUACAACACCAAGACAUGAAGUUAGUCAAACGAGAGAGAAGGGAUGCUCCAUCGGGGUCUUUUGACGACAGAGUAUAUAUUGAUAACAUUGGGGUUCCACGAGGGUGCCGGAUGAGUUCAAGGCAAGAAAUCAGAUACUAGCAGGAUUAGAGUCAAGUAUUUUUUGGUGGUCUACUCUCAAUAAGAAUGUAGACUGGAUUAAUUAUAUUUAUUAUAAUCAACAGCGCUUUAUCAAUUAUUCCAGAGAUGCGAUUAAAGGGUUGGCAGAACAGACUGAAGCAACCAGUCUGAUGGCUUGGCAGAAUAGAAUUGCAUUGGAUAUGUUAUUGGCUGAAAAGGGAGGAGUAUGUGUGAUCUUCGGGAACAUGUGUUGUACUUUCAUCCCGAAUGACACAGCUCCGGACGGAUCUGUGACCAAAGCCUUAGCUGGUUUGACCACCCUGGCUCACGAGUUGGCAGAAAACUCUGGGGUGGAUCCUUCCCUGACUAAUUGGUUUGAUAGUACAUUUGGAAAAUGGAAAAGUGUUGUAAUCACGGUGUUUUGGGCUGUAUCUACCUGUAUGACUGUUUUAAUUUUAUGCGGCUGUUGUCUAAUUCCCUGUGUGCGAGGCCUUGUUUCCAGGACUCUGGAAAGAUCAAUGACCCAACAGAUGGUGCGUUAUGGGCCGUUUCCAGAUUCUGACCUGUGGAGGACUGAAGGCAUGUCUACAGAGGAAGUGGACGAAUCCGGAUCUGUCAUUUGUGGGGAAUUUAUGUUUGAUGAGGCUAGUGUUGAGAUAAAGGGGAAUUAGAUUGUAAUUGGUUUCCAUGAUUAAACUGUUUUUUUAAUGAAGGUCGUGACGAAAAUCCGGAAGGAAGAGUUAUGAUUCUGAUGUAGAUUUAAAAACAGUUGGAGUUAAGGUUAGAAUUGAUUAAUGAAAUGUGGAGAGUUGGAUAAACAUUUAUAAUUGAUUUGUUGAUUAUUUGUCUAUUCAUAUGAUAAUCUGAUAAACCUCUAUAAAAAGGUUAGAUAAGUUCGUUUAUACUUUCAUUUUUUAUGAUUAAAUAAAACUAGAUGUAGAAUUGAAUGUAUAAUAUUUGAUCAAAGGGAGGAUUGAUAGAGGAAAAUAUGUUUGAAAUGACUAAUUAUGUAUACAUUCCAAUCAGAAACUGACUAGUGCGAAUGCUAUAAUGUACUGUCCCUCUUGCUCCCUUUCACAAUUGUAUAUAAUGUAGUCAAGAAGUUUAGUAACAAUGAAGGUCUGUUCUUUAAGUUCAUUCAGUUGUACAAAUCUCCAGGUGGUGGGAACGGGCCAUCUCCAAAAUGGUCGGGAAUGUUGAUUUAUGCUGACUGGCCUUGACUUCGUGCUGAUAACGCGGAGGCUUGAGAAUUAGAGGGGCCCUCUGUUUGUGAAAUGGAAAGUUUGGAAAACGCUGACGUCAUUUUCAGUUUAUAACCUGUGGUAAUGUGUGUGAGCAUUUAGUACUCAUCAAGAAUAAAUGCUGAACUUGUUUUUUAA